AAGNGGGUCUCCUUCCCAACAGAGAAGAGAGAAAUUUUCUUGGCUCUAGAUGUAAACGGUGACACCUGCGAGGACUGUCACCAGGAACCCGUGAGUUUCCCAGGGUCAGAUGUGCCAACUUCACAGGCACAGCUUCAGAAAAGCACCCACGUGACCGAUUGUCUGCAGUGGCAGCUGGACCAGCAUCUUGACUGUGGUGACAGCAAAGCCAUUCUUGGUCUUUCUUCCCCUAACUGGGCCUUUACCACCAACCCUAAUUCUGGAAACCAAGGACCACUCUUUCUCGAGCUGGAUGCUUCCAUCAGAAUGAAGAACCCUCCCAAGCUGGAAGGUGAGGGCUCCACAGCAAGCACACAUGAGCAGCCAGUCUGUAAGAAGAUUAAAGGCUUAAGUGGCCUAAAACAGAAGAUUCUCAGAAGAAAACUGCGGUUUGGCAAGUGGAGACUAGCGUUCAGAUUCCCUGGCCUUCAGGCUUAGGGUACAGAGAUACCAAUUACUUUAGGAACUAAGAAAAGAUAUUGUCAUUUUGAGAAACCACACUAUAAAAUAUACCUUUUCCAUUUGAUGAAAAACAAUCUACAACAGCAACUCAAUUUAAACCUCAGCAACACUGGAGGGAUCCUUUCCUGAGAAUGAGCAUCCCAACCGACAACCCGCUCCACGCCCCAAGGGACAGAAUUGAUGGGAGUAAUCCCAGUCAUCAGCCUCGGAAUGUAAUCCUCAGUAAUGUGAUCAGUGCUUUGAUGGACACACAGUUUGGAAAGACCUGAACUCUUGCGUCCCUAAAUAUUCACCCUCCACACACCAGCAUGGGAACAACUGGAAGAAGACAACCUAUCAACCCGGUCAUUCUUUGCCACCAGAUGGACUGUGCUCAAAACAGACAGCAUUUACUAUGCAUUGUUCUUGCUGAAA